rnacentral:tRNA from 1 species
GCGGCUAUGGUGAAGCGGUUAACACAACCGGCUGUGAACCGGUCACGCAUGAGUUCGAUCCUCAUUAGCCGCCCCA